CGGCGGGACGGGGUGGAGUAACGCGUGGGUAACCGUGCCUCAUACAGGGGGAUAACAGUUGGAAACGACUGCUAAUACCGCAUAAGCGCACAGUACCGCAUGGUACCGUGUGAAAAACUCCGGUGGUAUGAGAUGGACCCGCGUCUGAUUAGCUAGUUGGUGGGGUAACGGCCUACCAAGGCGACGAUCAGUAGCCGACCUGAGAGGGUGACCGGCCACAUUGGGACUGAGACACGGCCCAA
rnacentral:rRNA from 1 species